UUAUAUUUAUUUUUCCGUGUGUGCGAAUACAGUAUUGCAGUGACCUUGUUCGGGGAAAAAAACAUCAGCAACUGAUGGAACAAGAACAGUGCAACAUACAAAUACUCACAUGGAUUCUUGUCAUUGCUGUGUUAUAUUGAUAAAACACAUAUUAUGUACAAAAAAAAAAAUUCUGCUUGUGUGUCUCCUCCAAAUUAAAAGAAGAGUUAGGAGUUUGCUGAGAGGAACCUCCAGCAUGUAUUUAUGGCUGAAUUGAAUAUUUGAAUAUUUAUCUGAUCAGUCUAGAUGAGGAAGCAACUGCAACAAAUCCCCAAGUGGCAGAUUUCAGACUUCACCAUGAGCAUCGCAGCUGCCAUCUGAGAUGAUCUACUGGACCAGUUCCAAAACUUUUUGAUUUCACCUCUGACGGUCUUGCCCUAGAUAUUUCUCCAAUCCUCGUCAGACACACUAGCAGGUCUCAUCGGCUGCCAGCUGUGGAGGAGAGGACGUGGAGAUCAGCGCAGAUGAGAAGUGAAAAGGAUGAAGAGAAUCCAAUCGAUCCAAAACCUCCAUCCUAAUCUUUUUGACGUCCUCAGAUGGUGCAGACGGCAGCCCUGAAGCAACUUUUAGGGAACACAUUAGACCUAAAAAUUCUCCCCUUUUUUUUUUUUCUUAGUGUCUGCUCAACACAGCUGUCAGUGCACGCAAUACGCGAGCACAGAUCUUUAAAUGCUGCAGAAAAGGCCCAACGCAUCUGAAGUGCUCUACUGCACCCUUGUGGCUGAUGCAUGAAGUGCGGCUCCAAAAUGCUCCAAGACGGACGGACGGAUGGAUGGAUGAAUGGAGGAGAAGACGCAGCAGAGGACACAGGAAGAUGAUCAUCAGACAUGUUGGAGGUGGCUCUCGCAGAGCAGAGAGAAGACCACAAAGAAAAUCAGCGAGCCCCAGAUGACAAAAUGGUUGAUCCAAGUCCAGUAAUGAGUAUCUAGAGCCAACUGCGAGAGAUGAGGUGAGAGAUGAGACCCGUCAAAACGCCGCAGCUCGCUUUAACGAUGCCAGGCCUCGCUCGGGUGCUGCUGUGAGUACAGGCGCUGCACAGACUCUAUGUGUGUGUGUGUGUGUGUUUGUGUG